UAUUAAAUAGAACAUGAUAUUUACAAAGAGACUAUGCAAUAUCGCUAACAAAACAGAAUUUGCAAUAAGGAAAGGAAACAAAAAGUACUCAGCAGAACACCAUAAGGAAAACACGAAGAGGUAAGCGAGAAUACGACCCAACUCCGAAAUCAUAAAUAUAGUAAAGCCAAGUUAUAACUCAACAAUCCAGAUAAUUUUCACCUUAGGUCUUAACCAGUAAGCGUCAAUUCAUUAGUCAAACCCUUCAAGUGAUAAAAAUUGUUCGAAAUGUACU
rnacentral:lncRNA from 1 species